rnacentral:rRNA from 1 species
UGGGGAAUAUUGCACAAUGGGCGCAAGCCUGAUGCAGCCAUGCCGCGUGUGUGAAGAAGGCCUUCGGGUUGUAAAGCACUUUCAGCGAGGAGGAAGGGUAGUGUGUUAAUAGCACAUUGCAUUGACGUUACUCGCAGAAGAAGCACCGGCUAACUCCGUGCCAGCAGCCGCGGUAAUACGGAGGGUGCAAGCGUUAAUCGGAAUUACUGGGCGUAAAGCGCACGCAGGCGGUUUGUUAAGUCAGAUGUGAAAUCCCCGCGCUUAACGUGGGAACUGCAUUUGAAACCGGCAAGCUAGAGUCUUGUAGAGGGGGGUAGAAUUCCAGGUGUAGCGGUGAAAUGCGUAGAGAUCUGGAGGAAUACCGGUGGCGAAGGCGGCCCCCUGGACAAAGACUGACGCUCAGGUGCGAAAGCGUGGGGAGCAAACA